UACGGAGGAUCCGAGCGUUAUCCGGAUUUAUUGGGUUUAAAGGGUGCGUAGGCGGAUUUGUAAGUCAGCGGUAAAAAUGCGGUGCUCAACGCCGUAUCGCCGUUGAAACUGCAGGUCUUGAGUGAGCGAGAAGUAUGCGGAAUGCGUGGUGUAGCGGUGAAAUGCAUAGAUAUCACGCAGAACUCCGAUUGCGAAGGCAGCAUACCGGCGCGCAACUGACGCUCAUGCACGAAAGCGUGGGUAUCGAACAGG
rnacentral:rRNA from 1 species